rnacentral:rRNA from 1 species
AGCGAACGCUGGCGGCAGGCCUAACACAUGCAAGUCGAACGAACCUUUCGGGGUUAGUGGCGGACGGGUGAGUAACACGUGGGAACGUGCCUUUAGGUUCGGAAUAACUCAGGGAAACUUGUGCUAAUACCGAAUGUGCCCUUCGGGGGAAAGAUUUAUCGCCUUUAGAGCGGCCCGCGUCUGAUUAGCUAGUUGGUUGAGGUAAUGGCUCACCAAGGCGACGAUCAGUAGCUGGUCUGAGAGGAUGAUCAGCCACAUUGGGACUGAGACACGGCCCAAACUCCUACGGGAGGCAGCAGUGGGGAAUCUUGCGCAAUGGGCGAAAGCCUGACGCAGCCAUGCCGCGUGAAUGAUGAAGGUCUUAGGAUUGUAAAAUUCUUUCACCGGGGACGAUAAUGACGGUACCCGGAGAAGAAGCCCCGGCUAGCUUCGUG